CACAUAGGACCCACUGUUUGUCUGGAGCUCCACAUUGACUGUAAGACCUGGCCAUUGUCUUGGUGGAACUGUAAGCAUGGCCCCUCAAGGGGCUGACCUUCCACAGAGGAUAUCCAGCCACAUCAUUGCAAACCCUGGAAAAGCCAGCUGUCUCGUGCUGCAGGGUGGUAUCCAUGGACAUGGAGGGCAGCUGGGCAAAGAGGAAGCAGUUGAGCCUAGAGAGAUUUCUACUCAGAGCUUUCACUAUAGCACAGCUUCAGAAUCGUACAAGAAUUGCAGAUAGACUGGA
rnacentral:lncRNA from 1 species